rnacentral:rRNA from 1 species
GCGUGCCAUUAGCUGGUUGGUAGGGUAACGGCUUACCAAGGCUACGAUGGCUAGGGGGUCUGGGAGGAUGAUCCCCCACACUGGUACUGAGACACGGACCAGACUCCUACGGGAGGCAGCAGUGAGGAAUAUUGGUCAAUGGGCGGAAGCCUGAACCAGCCAUGCCGCGUGCAGGACGACGGCCCUACGGGUUGUAAACUGCUUUUCCGGGGGAAGAAUAACCCCCCUGCGGGGGGGGAUGCCGGUACCCCGGGAAUAAGGAUCGGCUAACUCCGUGCCAGCAGCCGCGGUAAUACGGAGGAUCCUAGCGUUAUCCGGAUUUACUGGGUUUAAAGGGUGCGUAGGCGGGCGCUUAAGUCCGCGGUGAAAGUCUGCGGCUCAACCGUAGGAUUGCCGUGGAUACUGGGCGUCUUGGAUUCGGUCGGGGCGGGCGGAAUGCGUGGUGUAGCGGUGAAAUGCAUAGAUAUCACGCAGAACGCCGAUAGCGAAGGCAGCUCGCCGGGCCGGUAUCGACGCUGAGGCACGAAAGCGUGGGGAUCAAACAGGAUUAGAUACCCUGGUAGUCCACGCCGUAAACGAUGAUGGCUGGGUGUUGGCGAUACACCGUCAGCGCCUGAGGGAAACCAUUAA